ACUACAUUAAGCUGUAGUUGUGAGCUAUGUUUUUGUUUGGGGAAUAUAGUGACAGUAUGCUGAAGAUUUCCAGCGGCUAAAUUUCUUAAAGGGAAUCUAUAGUCACCAGAACAACUACAGCUUAAUGUACAGAACAACUACAGCGACAUGUUCUGGUGAGUGUAGUAGGUCCUUGCAAGCUUUUUGUAGAAAAGGCAGUGUUUACAUUACAG